GAGGGUUUCCGCCCUUCAGUGCCGGAGCUAACGCAUUAAGCACUCCGCCUGGGGAGUACGACCGCAAGGUUGAAACUCAAAGGAAUUGACGGGGGCCCGCACAAGCGGUGGAGCAUGUGGUUUAAUUCGAAGCUACGCGAAGAACCUUACCAGGUCUUGACAUCUUGCGCCAACCCUAGAGAUAGGGCGUUUCCUUCGGGAACGCAAUGACAGGUGGUGCAUGGUCGUCGUCAGCUCGUGUCGUGAGAUGUUGGGUUAAGUCCCGCAACGAGCGCAACCCUUGUUACUAGUUGCCAGCAUUAAGUUGGGCACUCUAGUGAGACUGCCGGUGACAAACCGGAGGAAGGUGGGGACGACGUCAGAUCAUCAUGCCCCUUAUGACCUGGGCUACACACGUGCUACAAUGGACGGUACAACGAGUCGCGAACUCGCGAGGGCAAGCAAAUCUCUUAAAACCGUUCUCAGUUCGGACUGCAGGCUGCAACUCGCCUGCACGAAGUCGGAAUCGCUAGUAAUCGCGGAUCAGCAUGCCGCGGUGAAUACGUUCCCGGGCCUUGUACAC
rnacentral:rRNA from 2 species